CAUGGGAAGCCGAAGAAGGGCGCGGCAAGCUGCGAUAAGCCCCGGGGAGGCGCAAACGGCCUUCGAUCCGGGGAUUCCCGAAUGGGGGAACCCAGCAGGGGUCAUGCCCUGCUACCCGCACCCGAAUACAUACGGUGCGAGGAGGCAACCGGGGGAACUGAAACAUCUAAGUACCCCGAGGAAAGGAAAUCAACCGAGACUCCGGGAGUAGCGGCGAGCGAAACCGGACCAGAGCCCAAACCCGCGCACGUGCAAGCGACAGGGCGUUGCUGCGCGGGGGUUGCGGGGCGAGCCAUCCCGAGAGCCUGCUCUCUCGGGCGGAGUUACAAAGCGUCAUGGAAGCGGAACGGCAUGGGAAGGCCGGCCGCAGCGGGUGAGAGCCCCGUACGCGGAUCCAUGGCGCCUCCGAGGCGCGUCCCCGAGUAGGGCCGGGCACGUGAAACCCGGUCCGAAGCAGGGGGGACCACCCUCCAAGGCUGAGCACUCUCCCAUGACCGAUAGCGAACAAGUACCGUGAGGGAAAGGUGAAAAGCACCCCGAGAGGGGAGUGAAAGAGCACCUGAAACCGUGCGCCCCCAAGCAGCCGGAGCACCCUCUGCGGUGUGACGGCGUGCCUUUUGUAGAAUGAGCCAGCGAGUUGCGUCCGGCGGCGAGGUUCAGCUCAGAAGCGAGCCGCAGCGAAGGCGAGUCAUUAAGACGGCGAUUGAGUCGCCGGGCGCAGACGCGAAGCCGGGUGAGCUAUCCAUGGGCAGGCUGAAGCAGGGGUAAGACCCUGUGGAGGGCCGAACCCACUUCGGUUGAAAACGGAGGGGAUGACCCGUGGAUAGGGGUGA
rnacentral:rRNA from 1 species